rnacentral:rRNA from 1 species
GACGAACGCUGGCGGCGUGCCUAAUACAUGCAAGUAGAACGCUGAAGAGAGGAGCUUGCUCUUCUUGGAUGAGUUGCGAACGGGUGAGUAACGCGUAGGUAACCUGCCUUGUAGCGGGGGAUAACUAUUGGAAACGAUAGCUAAUACCGCAUAACAAUGGAUGACACAUGUCAUUUAUUUGAAAGGGGCAAUUGCUCCACUACAAGAUGGACCUGCGUUGUAUUAGCUAGUAGGUGAGGUAACGGCUCACCUAGGCGACGAUACAUAGCUGACCUGAGAGGGUGAUCGGCCACACUGGGACUGAGACACGGCCCAGACUCCUACGGGAGGCAGCAGUAGGGAAUCUUCGGCAAUGGGGGCAACCCUGACCGAGCAACGCCGCGUGAGUGAAGAAGGUUUUCGGAUCGUAAAGCUCUGUUGUAAGUCAAGAACGAGUGUGAGAGUGGAAAGUCACACUGUGACGUAGCUACCAG